rnacentral:rRNA from 1 species
CACUAUGCCCAGCCUUCAACAAAAACGGCCCACUACAUUUGUCCGUUCGCCUGGUUACUACGAGCUCAACAGUGUCUAAGCUUAAAACCCAAAGGACUUGGCGGUGCUUCAGAACCCCCUAGAGGAGCCUGUUCUAUAACCGAUAAUCCCCGUUAAACCUCACCCUUUCUUGUUCAUUCCAGCCUAUAUACCGCCGUCGCCAGCUUACCCCUUGAGGGAUAACGAAUGUAAGCUCAAUCGGUGCAAUCUGCCCCAUAAGUCAGGUCGAGGUGUAGCGUAAGAAAGGGGAAGAAAUGGGCUACAUUCCCUAUGUCAGUGAAUACGGAAGAUCAACCCUGAAACAAGGUAUCCGAAGGUGGAUUUAGCAGUAAGCAGGGAAUAGAGCGCCCUACUGAAGCCGGCAAUGGAGCGUGCACACACCGCCCGUCACUCUCUCCGAGCGCCUUCGCCAUGAAUUUUUAUAAACCAUUAGAUAUGCACAGGAGAGGCAAGUCGUAA